UAUCUAGACGACAUGUAAAAAACUGCUGGACGAGACAUCCUCAAAUUUCUCGCUCAAUCAUCUAGCUAGCUACUCAAAUCAUCGAUUCCUAAGGUAACCCGCUGUUAUCCUAUACAAUAUUCGCGGGAUUUCUAGAUAUAUUGGCGCCUAAUCUUAUCAAGAAUAAACCGAGCCGUGCAAAAGGGCGCUUCUGAUUAUUAGGUUUUAAUUAGCUUCAUCCCAGUCUUCUGUCAAAAUUCUAUCAGGUACCAGAUCACGUGUCCCUGCAAAUCAUAGCCUCCGCCAGCCAUUCAUCCCCGACAUAGAAAAUAGUAGUCAAAUCUCAGAUCAAACUGUUGAAACCCAAACAAAGAGAAAAGUACUUUGGAGGGGUGAUAUAUUAACUAAAACAUAUUUGGAAGCAUGCAUUGAAGAAGUUACAGCUAGUGGUAGGUUGGGCAACAGCCUAAAACCACAUUCGUGGUUAAAAGUGGGAGACAUACUUAGGAAAACCCACCAUUUUGAGGUUGAUGCUAGACAAAUGAGAAGCCGGUGUGAUUACUUAAAAUCUCGUUAUUUUGCUUGGUGUCAACUCAAAUCUAAGACCAAAAAUCAUUAUGAUCCGGCAACUAAUUCCUUUGACUUCACAGACGAAGAAUGGGAACAACAUGCGAAGGGAAAUAAGAUCAUAGACACUUUAAAAACCACACCUUUGAGUUAUCCUGACCUUUGCACCCAUCUGUAUGAUGGAACUGCUGCCGCAGGAUUAAGUGGAUGGGGACCUAGCUCGAAAAGAAGCAGGGCUAUUGAUCUUAAUGACGACAUAGAUAAUCUUGGUACCGAAGAAGUUCAGUCUAAUACUGCAAAUCCAAAUGCCGAAUAAAUUCCAAAAAAAAAAAAAGCUUGAACAACAUCAAAAACUCUAAGAAGCACAUCAUUUGAAGAUGAGAUGAACAGUGCACUAAAACUAAUUGUUUAGACCAAUAUUGGACCA